UACGAAGGGUGCAAACGUUGCUCGGAAUCAUUGGGCGUAAAGCGCACGUAGGCGGCUCCAAAAGUCGGAUGUGAAAUCCCUCGGCUCAACCGAGGACGUGCAUCCGAAACUGCGGAGCUUGAGUAUGGAAGAGGGUCGCGGAAUUCCCGGUGUAGAGGUGAAAUUCGUAGAUAUCGGGAGGAACACCAGCGGCGAAGGCGGCCUUCUGGACGGUGACUGACGCUGAGACGCGAAAGCGUGGGGAGCAAACAGG
rnacentral:rRNA from 1 species